rnacentral:rRNA from 1 species
AUUGAACGCUGGCGGCAGGCCUAACACAUGCAAGUCGAGCGGAUGAAGGGAGCUUGCUCCUGGAUUCAGCGGCGGACGGGUGAGUAAUGCCUAGGAAUCUGCCUGGUAGUGGGGGAUAACGUCCGGAAACGGGCGCUAAUACCGCAUACGUCCUGAGGGAGAAAGUGGGGAUCUUCGGACCUCACGCUAUCAGAUGAGCCUAGGUCGGAUUAGCUAGUUGGUGGGGUAAAGGCCUACCAAGGCGACGAUCCGUAACUGGUCUGAGAGGAUGAUCAGUCACACUGGAACUGAGACACGGUCCAGACUCCUACGGGAGGCAGCAGUGGGGAAUAUUGGACAAUGGGCGAAAGCCUGAUCCAGCCAUGCCGCGUGUGUGAAGAAGGUCUUCGGAUUGUAAAGCACUUUAAGUUGGGAGGAAGGGCAGUAAGUUAAUACCUUGCUGUUUUGACGUUACCAACAGAAUAAGCACCGGCUAACUUCGCG